GACGAACGCUGGCGGCGUGCUUAACACAUGCGAGUCGAACGAUGAACCCGGAGCUUGCUCCGGCGGAUUAGUGGCGAACGGGUGAGUAACACGUGAGUAACCUGCCCUUGACUCUGGGAUAACUGCGGGAAACUGUAGCUAAUACCGGAUACGACCCUCGGCGGCAUCGCCAGGGGGUGGGAAGAAUUUCGGUCAAGGAUGGACUCGCGGCCUAUCAGCUAGUUGGUGAGGUAACGGCUCACCAAGGCGACGACGGGUAGCCGGCCUGAGAGGGUGACCGGCCACACUGGGACUGAGACACGGCCCAGACUCCUACGGGAGGCAGCAGUGGGGAAUAUUGCACAAUGGGCGCAAGCCUGAUGCAGCAACGCCGCGUGAGGGAUGACGGCCUUUGGGUUGUAAACCUCUUUUAGUAGGGAAGAAGCGAAAGUGACGGUACCUGCAGAAAAAGCACCGGCUAACUACGUGCCAGCCGCCGCAGUAA
rnacentral:rRNA from 1 species